rnacentral:tRNA from 1 species
UAUAUUUUAGUAUAGAAGGUACAAAAGUUUUUGAUACUUUAGGCAACGGGUAAUUUCUGUUAAAUAUAA